rnacentral:lncRNA from 1 species
AGUUAAGACUUUAUAUAUAUGUUAAAGAUGAAUAUUUGGAUCUAUGGUUAAAUUUUGAUAUAAAGAUGAAUUUUUUAGAUGAGAUUAUGAAUUUUCUUUGGAAUUAUUGAAAAUCUAACUUAUCAAAAAAUGGUUAGUUAUGAUUUGGUAUAAUCAAGAAUGUUAAGAAAUUUUAGAUAUUUUAAAAAGUCUUAUGUAC